rnacentral:rRNA from 1 species
AGUGAACGCUGGCGGCAGGCCUAACACAUGCAAGUCGAGCGGCAGCGCGGGGGCAACCCUGGCGGCGAGCGGCGGACGGGUGAGGAAUUCGUCGGAAUCUGCCUUUUUGUGGGGGAUAACGUAGGGAAACUUACGCUAAUACCGCAUACGUCCUACGGGAGAAAGUGGGGGACCGCAAGGCCUCACGCAGAAAGAUGAGCCGACGACCGAUUAGCUAGUUGGUGGGGUAAAGGCCCACCAAGGCGACGAUCGGUAGCUGGUCUGAGAGGAUGAUCAGCAACACUGGGACUGAGACACGGCCCAGAAUCCUACGGGAGGCAGCAGUGGGGAAUAUUGGGCAAUGGGCGCAAGCCUGAUCCAGCCAUGCCGCGUGUGUGAAGAAGGCCUUCGGGUUGUAAAGCACUUUUGUCCGGAAAGAAAUCCCUGGAGCUAAUACCUUCGGGGGAUGACGGUACCGGAUGAAUAAGAACCGGCUAACUUCGUG